AAAAUUAGAGUCGCCACUUGGGAGAAUAAUGGUGUCCCAAGUCACCGGUUGAAUCCCAAAUCGAGGAAAAUAUGAUUAUGUUAACAGUCCGCGAACCAGAAAUCCGAGUAAGGAAUUCUGUUAACCCGGGAGAAGGUGUUAGGCAUUUCCAGGUUCCGUGGUUCUAGCAGGUCACUCAACUGUCGUGUUUAGUUUAUUUAUCUGAUUUUAAUACAUGUUGAACCUAAGUGCAAAUUUAACUUUUAACCGCUUUUAUUCAAUUAUUCUUUA
rnacentral:lncRNA from 1 species